CCUGUCUGCCUGGGUCUGGGGGCUGCAGGGACAGCAAGGCAGCCCCUCCUGCUUCCCUUCCUUUGGAAGGAGCGGUGCUGGGUCUGAGCCCCAGCCCAUCUUCCUCACCGGGGCAGCAGGGCCAAGACCCACGAUCCCUAGGCUGAGCCAGCGGCACCUCAGGGGGCACGGCCCUUGCCCACAGAUGCCCAGGCCGGCCUGGUCUUCUCUGAAUACCCCUAAGCCUGACUCUUGGGUUGUGAAUGUCCGCGAGGUUGGGGGACCUGCUGGCCCUGUCCCCACACCGCUUUCAGCCUUUCAUCACCCAACCAAAGACAGAAGCUCAAACGUGGGCACCAAAGUCUAGCGGACGCACCGAACUCCAGGCUCCAAGCACAUCCACCCAUGGUGGCUUUAUUCAGUCACGUCCCCACG
rnacentral:lncRNA from 1 species